rnacentral:rRNA from 1 species
GAGUUUGAUCCUGGCUCAGAACGAACGCUGGCGGCGUGCUUAACACAUGCAAGUCGAACGUGAUUGAGAGCUUGCUCUCAUGAAAGUGGCGCACGGGUGAGUAACACGUGGAUAAUCUGCCUGGCGAUUCGGGAUAACACUUCGAAAGGGGUGCUAAUACCGGAUAAGCCCACGGUCUCUUCGGAGAGCGCGGGAAAAGGGGGCCUCUGUAUAUGCUCCUGUCGCUAGAUGAGUCCGCGGCCCAUUAGCUAGUUGGUAGGGUAAUGGCCUACCAAGGCUACGAUGGGUAGCUGGUCUGAGAGGAUGAUCAGCCACACCGGAACUGAGACACGGUCCAGACUCCUACGGGAGGCAGCAGUGGGGAAUUUUGCGCAAUGGGCGAAAGCCUGACGCAGCAACGCCGCGUGAGUGAUGAAGGCCUUCGGGUCGUAAAGCUCUGUCAGAGGGGAAGAACCGCCGGGUGGCUAAUACCUGCCUGGUCUGACGGUACCCUCAAAGGAAGCACCGGCUAACUCCGUGCCAGCAGCCGCGGUAAUAC